rnacentral:rRNA from 1 species
CACGUAGGGCGCAAGCGUUGUCCGGAAUUAUUGGGCGUAAAGAGCUCGUAGGCGGUCUGUUGCGUCCGCUGUGAAAACUCGGGGCUUAACCCCGAGCCUGCAGUGGAUACGGGCAGACUAGAGGUAGGUAGGGGAGAAUGGAAUUCCCGGUGUAGCGGUGAAAUGCGCAGAUAUCGGGAGGAACACCGGUGGCGAAGGCGGUUCUCUGGGCCUUAACUGACGCUGAGGAGCGAAAGCGUGGGGAGCGAACAGG